GACGAACGCUGGCGGCGUGCUUAACACAUGCAAGUCGAACGGAAAGGCCCUGCUUUUGUGGGGUGCUCGAGUGGCGAACGGGUGAGUAACACGUGAGUAACCUGCCCUUGACUUUGGGAUAACUUCAGGAAACUGGGGCUAAUACCGGAUAGGAGCUCCUGCUGCAUGGUGGGGGUUGGAAAGUUUCGGCGGUUGGGGAUGGACUCGCGGCUUAUCAGCUUGUUGGUGGGGUAGUGGCUUACCAAGGAUUUGACGGGUCGCCGGCCUGGGAGGGUGAACGGCCACAUGGGGACUGAGAUACGGCGCAGCGUCCAACAGUAGGCAGCAGUGGGGAAUAUUGCACAAUGGGCGGAAGCCUGAGGCAGCAACGCCGCGUUCGGGAUGACGGCCUUCGGGUUGUAAACCGCUUUCGCCUGUGACGAAGCGUGAGUGACGGUAAUGAGUAAAGAAGCACCGGCUAACUACGUG
rnacentral:rRNA from 1 species